rnacentral:rRNA from 1 species
UACGGAGGGGACUAGCGUUGUUCGGAAUUACUGGGCGUAAAGCGCGCGUAGGCGGAUUUGCAAGUCGGGGGUGAAAUCCCGAGGCUCAACCUCGGAACUGCCUUCGAUACUGCAAAUCUCGAGUCCGGAAGAGGUGAGUGGAAUUCCUAGUGUAGAAGGUGAAAUUCGUAGAUAUUAGGAAGAACACCAGUGGCGAAGGCGGCUCACUGGUCCGGUACUGACGCUGAGGCGACGAAAGCGUGGGGGAGCAAACAGG